rnacentral:lncRNA from 10 species
GCUUAAACACUAAGGAUUUAUUUUUCUGUCAUAUAAAACAAGUCUGGAGUUUCCAACUCCUGAGUGCAAGUGAUCCUCCUGCUUUGGCCUCCCAAAGGGCUGGGAUUACAGGUGUGAGCCACUGUGUCUGGCCAAGCUACUUCUACUUAUAUCUCAUUGGUCAUAACUUGAUCACACAGCCACAUCCAGCUACAAUGGAGAUUGAGAAAUGUAGUCUUUUGGCUGGGUACACAGCAUCUGAAUAAAAUCCAGGCAUUGUUACUAAGGAAGAAGGAGUAAGUGUCAAUCUCUGCUCCAUAACUCUCUAGGUUAAUACACACAGAUGGAGGAGAUUGCUAGUUGCCCCUCAAGAUCCAGCCUUGCCUUCUGGGCUAAGAAAGCCCCUGAGAUUUACCUGGCCAUAGUGGCACUGGGAACAAACAAUGUAUUUCUAAAUCUUCUGAUUUUAAAAUCUUUCAGAAUCACGAUUUCUCCGACAUCAGUAUUUUUAUGUCUUUAGAAUUCAACAAAAUGAAAUUCCUAAGUCUAAUAUAUGUGAAUAUUAAGUUUUAGCAGAUACUGCUACAUAACUUUCCAGAAGGGUGUGGCAAUUCACAUCUCCACCAGUGAUCAGCAUGUUCAUUUUCCAUACAGCUCUGGAUAUUUUGUCUAUUUUAAAAUAUCUUCUUCUAAUCUAUAAUUUAAAAAUGUAACUUAGUAGGAAUUUAAUUGUUCAUGUAACCAAAUCUUCCCAUUAAUGGCUAUGGGUUUCUUCUUUUACUUCAGAAAGUCCUCCCCACCUUCAGAGUAUAUAAACAUUUUUUUCUAAAUUCCCUUCUAAUUUCUUAUAAUUUAUAGUUUUAUUUUUGUUAUUUGAUUCAUUUAUUCUCUCAACAGAUAUUUAUUGAGCACUUAUUAUACGUCAGGCUCUCUUCAAACUCUGGUGAGAGUAUUUUCUAACUGGGAGAGACAACCCUAGUUGAUAAGAAACAAACAAACCAAUAAGUAAAUAAGACAUUUCCCCCAGAUAAUUAAUACUUGGUGACGGGGGAAGACAGUGAGACAGGCUACUUUACACUGGCAGGUCAGGAAAGGCUUCUCUGAGGAGGCAAGUGAUUCAGGAUUAAUUGAUGACUGGUGGAGAAGUCCGGGGAGUGGACACAGGUGGGAACAGCCUGGUGGGUGUGAACAGCAACAAGAAGGUUAAUGUGGCUUCAUGGAACAGGGUGAAGAUGAGACAAGCUGAACACUGAGGUGGGCACCAGAACAUGGAGGGCUUUGUAGGUCCCAAUAAGGAGUAUGGAUUUUAUUGUAUACUGGAGAUUUGUCAUCCAUCUAGAAUCUGUUUUUAUAUAUAAGAAAAGGUGUAUAUGUUUGCGCAAGUGUGUGUGUGUGUGUUUGGGGGGGCGGGGUGGGGGCAGACAGGGCGUAACUUUUCUUUAAAUUAGAGUCAAAAUUUAAUUAAACUAUUCAUUCUUUACAGGCAGUGAGGGGAUUAGGAUCUUAUCCCACAGAAUCUCACCUCAUUUCAAAUGUUGUACAGAUAUUAUCUGAGAUAUAUUUUCAGGCCGGGUGCGGUGGCUCACGCCUGUAAUCUCAGCACUUUGGGAAGCCGAGGCGGGUGGAUCAUUUGAGGUCAGGAGUUCAAGACCAUCCUGGCCAACAUGGUGAAACCCCAUCUCUACUAAAAAUACAAAAAUUAGCCGGGUGUGGUGGUACACGUCUAUAAUCCCAGCUACUUGAGAGGCUGAGGCAGGAGAAUCGCUUGAAUCCAGGAGGUGGAGCUUGCAGUGAGCCGAGAAAACGCCACUGCACUCCAGCCUGGGCGACAGGGCAAGACUCUGUC